UCAACCCUGAUAUAAAACAUCAAGCUAAACCAAACUAAACUAGGGGAAUAAUCUCUGUCCCACUCAUUUUGUUGCUUUUUUCUAUGGGAUGUUUUUGUUGGCUGGGCGUUUAGAUUCUGCAGGUCUGCCUCCCGUUAUCUCCUUUGGUGUUUGUUUGCUUCCUAUAACCGACUGUCUGGGAGAAACAAAGAUAGCUGCUCUUUUAGAAAAUAAUGAGACUGUGAAAAUAAAAAUCUGGACUUAACCAACAGACGAACAGAAAAGGAAAAUAAAGGAAAUUCCCGGCUCUGAGAAGGUUUGGGAGACACCAGAAAUGGAGGAUGACAAUGAAUGAUCUGCGUGGGACCACAGGUUUUUUUUUUAACUAAAAGAAAAGGGCUUUGAAGUUUGCAAUUGGAAAAUUCCGAAUUUUCUCUACUGGACUUUCUGCAAGCAACUUCUUCAUUUAUGUCUUGCUGAAUGCAUUGGACUUUGGGAAUUAUUAUGUUAAGAAGAUAUAUGAUAUAUUCUGUUGGCAUACAUGGUGUUAUGUUC